rnacentral:rRNA from 1 species
CGCUAUCACUCCUACGGGAGGCAGCAGUGGGGAAUAUUGCACAAUGGGCGCAAGCCUGAUGCAGCCAUGCCGCGUGUAUGAAGAAGGCCUUCGGGUUGUAAAGUACUUUCAGCAGUGAGGAAGGCAGGUACGUUAAUAGCGUGCUUGUUUGACGUUAGCUGCAGAAGAAGCACCGGCUAACUCCGUGCCAGCAGCCGCGGUAAUACGGAGGGUGCGAGCGUUAAUCGGAAUUACUGGGCGUAAAGCGCAUGCAGGCGGCCUGUUAAGUCAGAUGUGAAAGCCCGGGGCUUAACCUCGGAAUUGCAUUUGAAACUGGCAGGCUAGAGUCUUGUAGAGGGGGUAGAAUUUCAGGUGUAGCGGUGAAAUGCGUAGAGAUCUGAAGGAAUACCAGUGGCGAAGGCGGCCCCCUGGACAAAGACUGACGCUCAGAUGCGAAAGCGUGGGGAGCAAACAGGAUUAGAUACCCUGGUAG